AGAACAUUGAAGAAUGUGUUUCAGGCAAGCCAUGGUGGAUUAUACUUGUGAUCCCAACAUUUUGGGAGGCCAAGGCAAGAAGAUUGCUUGAGGUCAGGAGGAGUUCAAGACCAGCCUGGGGAAUAUAGGGAGACCCCUGCCUCUACAAAAAAAAAUACAAAAAAAAAAUUAGCUGGGCAUGGUGGCUCGCCAUUGUCCCAGCUACUCAGGAGGCUAAGGCAGGAAGAUCACUUGAGCCCAGGAACAUGAAGCUGCAGUGAGCUGCGAUUGUACCAUUGUGCUUCAGCCUGGGCAACAGAUCAAGAACUAAUGGCUGGGCGUGCCUGCAGCUCUGCAGUAUGGAUACUCUGGACUAGGGAACGGGCAAGACAGAGGGUGCAGGACAGCUCAAGAUUUCAUCACGCUACUCAGAACAGCAUGCAACUUAAAUCAUGAAUUG
rnacentral:lncRNA from 1 species